rnacentral:lncRNA from 1 species
AAAAUAACUGUAAAUAGAUGUUAUGGUGUUAGAACAAAUAAGCCAUAGUAAUAUACUGUAUCAGGUUCUUCUGAAAAACAGGUACAACAUGCAUACCAUAGACUAUGAAAAGGCAAAACUUUCACAUCCAUUCAUUCUAUGCAGCUGAUGAACGGUAAAAAUGCAAGUGCUAUUGUGGCUAAUCAGCCAACGAGACCAAAACUAUCCUUAUCCCUCAGAUGAGGGAUACCUUUCUUCGCGUUACGAGCUAAACAUCCAGAACAGUGACUGUACUGCCUCAACGGCCUUUGACUGUUAUGUUAAAACAGAAGUCAAACAGGAUGUUUGCUUCACAAGACUCAGAACCUGCCCUAGAUGACUUGUGGCUGUAUUGCUAAUGUAUACAUGUCAAUUGUUCCUGAAGCUUUUAUUUUGUGAGCGGUUUGGAGAUUCAUCCAUCAGUCCAUGAAAGAUCAUCAAGAACAAUCCAUCGUCUCAAAGUAGUUAUGUAUUGCUUGAAAAUUGCAUUUAUUAUCUAUACUAGGAUGGAUCAGUCCUUGGAGGUACAGUAAGCAAUGCUUAUUCAAAAUGAACAACAUACAACAUUAUGUAUUUGAGUGAAACUCCCCUGUAAAGUCGUUAAUGUAUUGAUCAUCUAUGUAGCAGAACAAUAGCUGAUAUUCUGAGGACUGUCCAGAACUUUAGCAGAGAAGAGGGUUUUUUUAAGCAGGAAUUUUAUGGAUUCCUGUCUUUUUAGUUUCUUGGACUGUUGUCUUUAUUUUUACUUAUGGUAGGCCUAUAUAUUUCUUCAUUGUGUCUGCAAACUGUUCUAGUGUAGUAUGUCUGAACUAGAUAAUACAGUUUACUUUUUUUAUAUUUAUUUGAGCCAAAUUUGAGAAAAUGUUCACUUAUGCCCAAAAACAUUUAGCAUUUCUCUCUACCUUUUUUAUAUAAAUAUUUGUUUAUUUGUUGUUUAAUAUAAAAUUUGAAUUUGUGUAAUAUAUUUCUUCUAAAUUAUGAAAAAAAAACUAAACUUUUAAUGUUAUUAUUUUGUAUUUCAAUGUAGCUUCGAUGCACUAAAAACAUUCAUGAUAUUCAACCAUUAGAAGCACAGAUCCCAAAAUUAAAUCCAACGAUCACAUUAUUUAUAAGAUUCCCCCUUAAACAGUCGCCCAAUCACCAACCCCCAGCCUCCUUGAGUUCACAUUUUUUCCACUAUUUUAAAGAAGAAAAUAAAUACUUAAGGCACACAACCCACAUUAUGUGGCUAUGCAGAGGUUGUUUCUUUGUUUAUCAAACAAAGAUACUAACUUGUAUGAAGAAUGACUGAAACCUCAGACUUUGAUUGGCUUAAUCUCAAACCACAUUGGCAUGUCUGAAGUGGCUAACUAAACAUUAGAGAUGGAGUGGGCUGAUUUUCACACACACACACACACACACACACACACACACACACACACACACACACACACACACACACACACACACACACACACACACACACACACACACACACACACACACACACACACACACACACACACACACACACACACACACACACACACAGACACACCUGUGCUUUCUGUGCUACAGGUGUGAUUGUGCACAUUCUCACAGACCCUAUGGCCUUUCCCACCCCAGGGGGACACAGAGAGUAGGGAUGAAGAUAGAGGGGGUUCAAAGUGGGAUCCUCUUACCAACACCAAGGGCAAUCCUAACUAAAAACAAGCCCUUGUUGUGCACAGGUCCCUUUUUUCUGCAUGAGCUGUGAGUCCUUUGAAGCCUUUCUGAACGUGUUUUGGUGAAAAGGAGGAGGAGAGUUGUUGUGUCUUCUUAAGAGCAGAUAUUAUACCAAUUAGGGUUGGUUUAGCGACCCCCAAUCUUUGAGCUCAUACAUUAAAAAACUAAAAAUAUUGCUAGCAUUUGUAGCUCAGAAAAAAGUUAAGCUAACCCUAUUGACAAAUCUACUACCCUAUGCCUUAUUUUAGUUUAAGACAAUCAAUUAUGUAAAGAUGCAUUUCUAACUCUUGGGGAGUAGAGGGAAAGAAUAGCAUGUUCUUAUAAUCACUGUGUUCCUACCCAUCCCUUUGGGUUUGAAGGCCUAACUUUAGAUUGGGCAAAAUUCAUGCAGCUAUGAGAAAUCAAAGAUGUACCUGAUAUCAUAUGGUUAUAUCAAAACCAAAGAAAGGCCUGUAAUAUUGUUACAUUGAGGGUUUGGAUUUGUUGUUUUACACAAAAUGUCUCGGUUGGUUUCCAUUAUCUGUUGAUAAAAUGUCCAUAACUCUUAAGAGUUUGUGUGUAUAUCAUGAGGCAUUUGCAAAACAGGGAG